GAUGUCAAUUUAUUGGCGAACAUGGCUUUUAUCAUGGGAGCAUUGUCUAUACGCGACGUACGUGAAUGUUGUGUGAAUAUUGCAAUAGUGCAGUAAUAAGCUUUGUCUCUGUACAAUGUGCGCCGUUUGAAUGUUGCACCGAAGUAUUAAUGUUUAACCGAAAAGCAAGGAUACAUUAAAAAAGAUAAUUAAACGGAUCACAACGAUUAUAACCGAAAACCAAGCAAUUUAUUAAAAAAAGAUAAUUAAACAGAUUGCAACAAUUAAAAAUGUGACAAUGUUUCUUAUAAGACAGUAUAAAAAAAUAACUGUACGCGCUCAUCUAUAUAAAUGACGUCUUUACUGAAAAAAGCAGCUUCUACUUGAUCAAAGAAUAAUGCAUGAAUGUUGCACCGAAGUAUUAAUGUUUAACCGAAAACCAAGGAUAUAUUAAAAAAGAUAAUUAUAAAUGGAUUACAACGAUCAAAAAUGUGAAAGUGUUUCUUAUAUAUAAAUAUAUUCGAUAAAUAUACACGACACUAUAAAAAGUAACUGUGUGCGCGCAUCAAUAUAAAUGACGUCUUUGUUGGAAAAAAAGCAGCUUCUAAUUGAUCAAAGAAUAACGCAUAAAGCUCUAACGCUAAACUCGUGUUUCUACAUGAAGUAUAACGCGUAUAAGGAACGUUUUAUGGAAUGUCCAAUGCGGCAUAUCGGCAGCGGCGGUAUGGCCUAGUAGUUAGAGCCGUUAGAUGACGAUACUUGUAAAAAUCUCACGGCAGAAACUGAGCCACGGCGAGAGUUAUGCAGAAUUUCGCACGCCAGCACGCGUGCGGGAAAAAGGAGUCUGCGUCAUCGACAAGUUUCACGCCCGCAUGAGCCCGAGAUGAAUGGACAGAAAUAGGGAAGCGUGAACUCCUUUCACCGUUAACUACGUUGUCUACAUUUCCUCGAUGCACGGAUGCAACAAGGAGUUUCCUGAUCCACUCGUUCGCACGACGACGAGCGGAGGAAAUGGACGCUUCCUGUGCGGAAAUUCGCGACCUUCGGCGGAAGCCUGAGGGAGACCGCAGACAAUGUCGGAGGAACAGCUGGAGGAAGGAAUAAUUAUGCUGCACAAAAAGCGACGAUUCAACGCGAUUCUACUGCGAUUCCACGGACGAGUGACGUUCAGUAAUAAUGCGCGGAAUGAAUAUUCAAUAAGCCUGGAUAUUGAUUUAAAAAUAAUCUCCUGAUAACAAAAUUUUUAUCUAAAAUCUCAAUUCUUAUUUUCCGCGGCUUUAAAUAGGUAAUCAAUAACGUCAAAGAAAUUUUUCGCAUUCGGAUUCUUUUUCGUUUUUUCUGAAAACGAUAACGUGUGCACCCCCAAGUGUCGUAAAUUCCACAGAGCGAACUCGGGCGAACUUAUCCGAAGUAUCAAAGGCGGAAAUCUCGAGCCGUCACGAAGACGGAGUGAAAGAAUUUAUCUCGAAAUACACGGUGGACGGUACCGAGGACGGUAUACACGACAACGCGCCCUGAAGCAUGAAAAAGAGAGAGAGAGAGAGAGAAAGAAAAAAAAAGGAAGUGGACACGCGGCGUCAGGUCGGCGCGCCCGGAACGCGGACUAUUUCUGGACAUUCCCCGGGGGAUCCGUUGCGAAAAAUUCGGUUCCUGGUUGCGCUUAAGUUUAGAUCGCGUUCCGAUGCACCGAUCGUCCUAAAAAUAAGUUAAAACCGCGUCGGGAAAGUAAUAGUCACGCGAUUGCAAUCUACUCCUUUGCGUAUCGGCGCAACGCGUUGUCGACAAAAUUCGCAGAUCAAUCUUCGGGUUUCAUUAAACAUCCAUUCAUCAUCUACAAUCGCAAAUGUUGCAUUAUAGCUCAAGGAACAUAAUAUAUGUAGUGUUUAUAAAAUUAUCUAUGUACAAUUCUCUAUGCGCGCAAAAUUAUUCUCGCCUAGGCUGUAAUCGUAAACUUUAUACUGUUUAUCGGAACACUUAAAAAAAGAAAGAAAUAUUAUUUUUUUUAAAUAUGACAAUCGCUAUAAAUUUUACAUUAUGUAUGUCCCCUUUAAUACCUAAAUUCAUUGACAGAAUGGAAAAUCCCUUAUGCAUGUGCUUCAGAAGACCGAAAUUUCCGGUUGCGAUAGUGCUCGCCUUAAUUAUAAACUAAUUAUACUUCGACGGGAAAUCGAAUGUGAUUGGUAGUGCGGACUCUAAUUGCGGUAGGAAAAAAAAUAGCUCAAUUACGUGUAGAAUAUGCGAUAUCGACACACGCACGCGUCGGUAUAUCUGCCUUCUGUUUUCCCCGACGUGAUAUAUCGACGCAACGCUCGGUUGGACAUCGCGAAUAACCGGUUACGUUGCGCAAUCUCCCGUCAACAAUAUGCUUCGGCUCGCGUCAAGGUGUAAUGAGUCACAAAAAUAUAUAUAUACAUAUGAGACGAACGAGGGGAAGGGGAGAAAAAAAAUAUACACUCCGAUCCUGCCAGGAUUCGAACCUGGAAUCUUCUGAUCCGUAGUCAGACGCGUUAUCCGUUGCGCCACAGGACCAGCUGAUUGCGAAAUAGUUGCAGACUACAUAUCUGUAAAAAAUCUUGUAAAAGUUGCCAAACGUCAACGAGAAAAAGAUAUUUUCCAUAUUCGACUUUAAUAGGCGAAACGAGAAUAAUGUCACGUCAACAAUAGCAUUUUAUAUUCCGAUGAGAUAUGAGGUUUCUCUUUCAUUUUUCGUUGUAUUUAUGAUAUAUUUUACAGAAUAUAUUUAUUAUAUAGCUAAAUAUUUAGAAAUAUUUGUCCGUCGAGUUUUAUAAAUUUCCCCACAUUCGCGUCAAAAUUGUCAUUGAGAAAUGUUCAUUUGUUUCAUUUAUUCUGGAGCAAUCUGUAUCAAUCAUCCAUACAUGCAAAUGGGGUAAAACUGAAUGAUCGGGUGUCCUAGUUUCCGAGAACACGACCUUCAUCAGACAUCUUUACGGAUCUUUUAAUUACAAUCGUUUGACAUUUUGCAAUCGUCAUUAAACAUUUCAAAGCUCAUAAUUAUACAUCUCUGUUAAUAAAUUUUACUCUGUUAAUAAUUUAUUUUAUUAUUUUCAGUGUCACACUUGUAUAAUCAUGAAAAAGGGAAUUUAUCAAACGAAUAAAAGAGAUUGUAAAAAAAAA